rnacentral:rRNA from 1 species
UACGUAGGGUGCGAGCGUUAAUCGGAAUUACUGGGCGUAAAGCGUGCGCAGGCGGUUUUGUAAGCCAGAUGUGAAAUCCCCGGGCUUAACCUGGGAAUGGCAUUUGGGACUGCAAGGCUGGAGUGCGGCAGAGGAGACUGGAAUUCCUGGUGUAGCAGUGAAAUGCGUAGAUAUCAGGAGGAAUACCGAUGGCGAAGGCAGGUCUCUGGGCUGACACUGACGCUCAUGCACGAAAGCGUGGGUAGCAAACAGG